rnacentral:rRNA from 1 species
UCCUGGCUCAGGAUGAACGCUAGCUACAGGCUUAACACAUGCAAGUCGAGGGGCAUCAGGAAGAAAGCUUGCUUUCUUUGCUGGCGACCGGCGCACGGGUGAGUAACACGUAUCCAACCUGCCCUUUACUCGGGGAUAGCCUUUCGAAAGAAAGAUUAAUACCCGAUGGCAUAAUGAUUCCGCAUGGUUUCAUUAUUAAAGGAUUCCGGUAAAGGAUGGGGAUGCGUUCCAUUAGGUUGUUGGUGAGGUAACGGCUCACCAAGCCUUCGAUGGAUAGGGGUUCUGAGAGGAAGGUCCCCCACAUUGGAACUGAGACACGGUCCAAACUCCUACGGGAGGCAGCAGUGAGGAAUAUUGGUCAAUGGGCGCGAGCCUGAACCAGCCAAGUAGCGUGAAGGAUGAAGGCUCUAUGGGUCGUAAACUUCUUUUAUAUGGGAAUAAAGUUUUCCACGUGUGGAAUUUUGUAUGUACCAUAUGAAUAAGGAUCGGCUAACUCCGUGCCAGCAGCCGCGGUAAUACGGAGGAUCCGAGCGUUAUCCGGAUUUAUUGGGUUUAAAGGGAGCGUAGGUGGAUUGUUAAGUCAGUUGUGAAAGUUUGCGGCUCAACCGUAAAAUUGCAGUUGAUACUGGCUGUCUUGAGUACAGUAGAGGUGGGCGGAAUUCGUGGUGUAGCGGUGAAAUGCUUAGAUAUCACGAAGAACUCCGAUUGCGAAGGCAGCUCACUGGACUGCAACUGACACUGAUGCUCGAAAGUGUGGGUAUCAAACAGGAUUAGAUACCCUGGUAGUCCACACAGUAAACGAUGAAUACUCGCUGUUUGCGAUAUACAGUAAGCGGCCAAGCGAAAGCAUUAAGUAUUCCACCUGGGGAGUACGCCGGCAACGGUGAAACUCAAAGGAAUUGACGGGGGCCC